AUUGAACGCUGGCGGCAUGCCUUACACAUGCAAGUCGAACGGUAACAGGUCUUCGGAUGCUGACGAGUGGCGAACGGGUGAGUAAUAUAUCGGAACGUGCCCAGUCGUGGGGGAUAACGCAGCGAAAGCUGUGCUAAUACCGCAUACGAUCUAUGGAUGAAAGCGGGGGAUCGCAAGACCUCGCGCGAUUGGAGCGGCCGAUAUCAGAUUAGGUAGUUGGUGGGGUAAAGGCCCACCAAGCCAACGAUCUGUAGCUGGUCUGAGAGGACGACCAGCCACACUGGAACUGAGACACGGUCCAGACUCCUACGGGAGGCAGCAGUGGGGAAUUUUGGACAAUGGGCGCAAGCCUGAUCCAGCAAUGCCGCGUGCAGGAUGAAGGCCUUCGGUUGUAAACUGCUUUGUACGGACGAAAGGCUCUGGUUAAUACCUGGGGCGUCAUGACGGUACCGUAAGAAUAAGCACCGGCUAACUACGUGCC
rnacentral:rRNA from 1 species